UGAAAGAGUGCCUGUAAGUCUCAGAUUAGAACAUUUUCAGUGGCUUAAAAGCAGAGGUGAGAAGUAAUGAAGUAGAAAUACUUCGUUACUGUACUUAAGUAGAGUACUUAAGAAGUAACGAAGUACAAAUACUACAAAUAGUAGAAUUAUCAGGUAUCUGUACUUUAUUUGAUUAUUUAUUUUUCAGACAACUUUUUACUUUUACUACCUACAUUUUUAUACAAAUAUGUGUACUUUCUACUCCUUACAUAUGCAAAACAGUCUCGUUACUUUCGGUUCAAAAAGGUCAUUUAUAGUUUAUAGGUGGGCCGGAAGGAGCGCAGGUGUCCGCAAAUUGUGUUCGCGGUAAUUCAGAAUCAAGCUAGCGCCAUAGAAGAGGCGCGAGCUUAAAGGAAGUAACGUUUUAAGUGGCAGGGAGAGAAAAGAGUGCGCAAUAAAUUCAAUGAGAUUUUAUUGCGUUGGAGGAAAGAUGGAGGAAGACAGACAGGACGUGAGAGGAAGAAGAGAGGUUGUAUUUAAAGGUUUGUCAUUCUCGGUGGAGUCUGUCAUCUCAGCUGGAGUCUUCUGGUCUAGCUGGGCAGUGCCUGGAAGCCCAGUCUUCGCUCUGUUGAGGAGCAGCUGAUUAUCUG